rnacentral:tRNA from 2 species
GGGUCCGUGGCUCAGGUGGUUAGAGCGCGCGCCUGAUAAGCGCGAGGUCCCUGGUUCGAGUCCAGGCGGGCCCACCA